CAUGGUUAAGUGGGAAACGAUGUGGGAAGGCCCAGACAGCCAGGAUGUUGGCUUAGAAGCAGCCAUCAUUUAAAGAAAGCGUAAUAGCUCACUGGUCGAGUCGGCCUGCGCGGAAGAUGUAACGGGGCUAAACCAUGCACCGAAGCUGCGGCAGCGACGCUUAUGCGUUGUUGGGUAGGGGAGCGUUCUGUAAGCCUGUGAAGGUGUGCUGUGAGGUAUGCUGGAGGUAUCAGAAGUGCGAAUGCUGACAUAAGUAACGAUAAAGCGGGUGAAAAGCCCGCUCGCCGGAAGACCAAGGGUUCCUGUCCAACGUUAAUCGGGGCAGGGUGAGUCGACCCCUAAGGCGAGGCCGAAAGGCGUAGUCGAUGGGAAACAGGUUAAUAUUCCUGUACUUGGUGUUACUGCGAAGGGGGGACGGAGAAGGCUAUGUUGGCCGGGCGACGGUUGUCCCGGUUUAAGCGUGUAGGCUGGUUUUCCAGGCAAAUCCGGAAAAUCAAGGCCGAGGCGUGAUGACGAGGCACUACGGUGCUGAAGCAACAAAUGCCCUGCUUCCAGGAAAAGCCUCUAAGCAUCAGGUAACAUCAAAUCGUACCCCAAACCGACACAGGUGGUCAGGUAGAGAAUACCAAGGCGCUUGAGAGAACUCGGGUGAAGGAACUAGGCAAAAUGGUGCCGUAACUUCGGGAGAAGGCACGCUGAUACGUAGGUGAAGCGACUUGCUCGUGGAGCUGAAAUCAGUCGAAGAUACCAGCUGGCUGCAACUGUUUAUUAAAAACACAGCACUGUGCAAACACGAAAGUGGACGUAUACGGUGUGACGCCUGCCCGGUGCCGGAAGGUUAAUUGAUGGGGUUAGCGCAAGCGAAGCUCUUGAUCGAAGCCCCGGUAAACGGCGGCCGUAACUAUAACGGUCCUAAGGUAGCGAAAUUCCUUGUCGGGUAAGUUCCGACCUGCACGAAUGGCGUAAUGAUGGCCAGGCUGUCUCCACCCGAGACUCAGUGAAAUUGAACUCGCUGUGAAGAUGCAGUGUACCCGCGGCAAGACGGAAAGACCCCGUGAACCUUUACUAUAGCUUGACACUGAACAUUGAGCCUUGAUGUGUAGGAUAGGUGGGAGGCUUUGAAGUGUGGACGCCAGUCUGCAUGGAGCCGACCUUGAAAUACCACCCUUUAAUGUUUGAUGUUCUAACGUGGACCCGUGAUCCGGGUUGCGGACAGUGUCUGGUGGGUAGUUUGACUGGGGCGGUCUCCUCCUAAAGAGUAACGGAGGAGCACGAAGGUUGGCUAAUCCUGGUCGGACAUCAGGAGGUUAGUGCAAUGGCAUAAGCCAGCUUGACUGCGAGCGUGACGGCGCGAGCAGGUGCGAAAGCAGGUCAUAGUGAUCCGGUGGUUCUGAAUGGAAGGGCCAUCGCUCAACGGAUAAAAGGUACUCCGGGGAUAACAGGCUGAUACCGCCCAAGAGUUCAUAUCGACGGCGGUGUUUGGCACCUCGAUGUCGGCUCAUCACAUCCUGGGGCUGAAGUAGGUCCCAAGGGUAUGGCUGUUCGCCAUUUAAAGUGGUACGCGAGCUGGGUUUAGAACGUCGUGAGACAGUUCGGUCCCUAUCUGCCGUGGGCGCUGGAGAACUGAGGGGGGCUGCUCCUAGUACGAGAGGACCGGAGUGGACGCAUCACUGGUGUUCGGGUUGUCAUGCCAAUGGCACUGCCCGGUAGCUAAAUGCGGAAGAGAUAAGUGCUGAAAGCAUCUAAGCACGAAACUUGCCCCGAGAUGAGUUCUCCCUGACCCUUUAAGGGUCCUGAAGGAACGUUGAAGACGACGACGUUGAU
rnacentral:rRNA from 2 species